CUUGUAAUGUGGUUGGGCUAAGAAGAAAACUGGUUUUUCUAGACAACAAAAUCCUUGAGUUAAGAGAGUGAAAAAUUCAUAAUUUCAUCAUUUAACAUCAAUCUCUCUUUCUCUUUUUCAUUUGAGAAAUCAUUCUCAACUUAAUCCCAACUUUUCAUUCAUUAAGCUCUUCCUUCUUUUUCUUUCUUUUCUUCUUUUUUCUUUUCAUUUCUUUUUCUCUUUUUUCUCAAUACUUAGCUCAAUGCUUUUUCUUUUUAUUUUCACAAUUCUUUCAAAUUUCCCAGCAACCCCAAGCCCACCAAAUAAAGAACAACCCAAAAACAUGGAGAGGGGUAAAAGAGACCUUUAUGCACAUGAAGGGGUGAGAUUAGCUUGAUAGGGGGUGCACCGGGAACUUUCUUAUUUUAGAAAUUGAAAUAAACGUGUACUCCAUAUAGAUUCUAGAAGCUAGCACAUUUAGCACAUGUCUUAGAGUUAGGAAACGUGAUUCAUAUUGGCUGAACACGUUUUCAUCACCAAGCUAAAGGUUGAGGAGUCUAUAUAACUCACCUUGGCUGCCCAUGUAUUCACUUUUGGAAUAUAGUAAAGAAUUUCUGCUGAAAUGAAUAGCAAACUUCUUUCUCCGAGAGUCACUUCCCAAGCUUGCUUCUCCAUUGCAACUUUCUUCCACUUGUUGGAAGCCUUNUGAGUUGUGAUCCAUUCCUUCAAGCUAGCAUCCAUAUCACCUCUUCCAUACACUUCCUUUCCGCUGCCAACACCUCCAAAUUCCAGAUCUGCAUCUGCACAUCAUCAACCGGUACUGUUCCAUUGGAUUGUAACCACUGUCAUGCUUCUUCUCACCUCCAUUCUACCAGAUCUGCAAGAUUACAUCAAGCCUUGAUGUAUCAAGUGGUAUUCAGAGCAAGGUUCAAGCUAGAACCGUGAGAUAAGUGUCUUUUCCUUCCAUUUCCAUACUGUCAGAAAAUCCUGUAAUGUUUUGAUUCUGUUCUUCUCUUCAUCUCUAUCUCGACAUCUUGAUGUGGUGUUUAGGUUCUGUGUGAGUCUUUUGUGGAUACUAGCUGUGUUUGCUUGAGUCAUUCAUUAUUUUCAUUCGGUUAAUCUUUGCUGCAUUGAGUCAUUUUGUUAAUUUGAGCAUCAUUUCCAGUUUGUCUUAGUCAUGUUUGGUUAA
rnacentral:lncRNA from 1 species